AAAAAAAGUCGAUCUCAAACACACCCCCACGAUCCCCACCGGCCCAUCCCCUCCCGAUCCCCACCUUGCCCACAGCGCUGCCGGUUCCUGAUCCGCCGACCACCAUCGUGUGCUGCCGGCCACCGGAGCCGCUGCCCACACCCACGCCCAUUGCCAUCUGCUGGUCGCCGCCGUCCCUAGAUCCCCUUGCGCCGCCGGGCUGUGGAUCCCCGAACGCCGCCGCCAGGCCGUGGAGCCCCGCGCGCCGCCGCGGACCUCCACAUCCAUCCUCCGCCAUGGAUCCCAGGUUCCCCGCCGCCCCUAUCUGCCACCGCCGUGGCCCCCUGCUUCCGGGCGCACCAUCCACCGCCGCCAUUGUCAUGCGUCGCUGCCGCCCGAUAUGAUGAGGCGCCGCCGCCUCCCAAGCCACUGCCUAGCUCCAGCAUCUCCACGCGUCCACGCCACCAGACGGUAAGGGAGACCCGAUCGGCCGGCCGCAUUGUGCUGUCCCUUCUACGACCCUGCCUCCACAGGGCUCCACCGGGAGCAACUUCCCUGAACUUCCCGACGUGGCUGCAUCACUUCUGAGACCCCGCGCGCUUGACUUUCCCCAACCUCGUCCAUCCUGCCUCCGUUGUACCCUAUUUUUUUGCAAGGGACGCUCUCCCCUAUUAGCUGAAGUUCUCGCGAGGGCCGCCUUGACCUUUUCUGGGACGGUUAGAGCAUACGGCAACCACAAAAAUCGUCAUCAACUGAGAGAUGGAGCACCUAAUUUUCCAGUUCCUGGUUAACCGGGGUGUAGCUUCACCGUCAGACAUAUCCAUGGAUAUCACCAAGCUAACUCAGACGCUUGGUAUCCAGCCGAUUACAUUCCUGGAUGGAGUCAGAGCUACACUUGAUGCAGAAGCCACUACAUGAUAUUCAUAAACUGUUUGUUCAAGUUCCUCCACAAAAUAUUGAAGUGUGACACAAAGGACCCCCUUUCUUUUACCUGACAAAGAACCCGUAUUAGCUUGCCGAAAUUGCAGCAGAGAUAGAUUUUGUUGGAUCUGUAUGUGUGAAAGAUGUAACUUUGCUACCAUCGAACGACUUGCCCUUGGUUUUACUGUCUGUACCAUUCUGAAUAAAAAUGGCGUCCAUGUGUGUUCUUCAGAA